UACGGAGGGUGCGAGCGUUAAUCGGAAUAACUGGGCGUAAAGGGUGCGUAGGUGGUUGGUUAAGUUAUCUGUGAAAUUCCUGGGCUCAACCUGGGACGGUCAGAUAAGACUGGUCAACUCGAGUAUAGUAGAGGGUAGUGGAAUUUCCGGUGUAGCGGUGAAAUGCGUAGAGAUCGGAAGGAACACCAGUGGCGAAGGCGGCUACCUGGGCUAAUACUGACACUGAGGCACGAAAGCGUGGGGAGCAAACAGG
rnacentral:rRNA from 1 species